AUGGUAAAUUUCCUAGAUUGCCACAGGAUCGCCACAGACUAUCUUUCGAAUCGAUCAUAGAAAUUAUAUAUUUUUAUGAAUCGAUCCAUGCUCGAUUAUUUCCAUAGUUUUCAUUCACUGCCGUGCAUUCGCGACUCCGGACUUGUGGUUUGUCAAAGCGGAGCAUUUCGCUCCUUGUGAUUGUUAUUUCGUUCCUAGAAUAGUUCGCAAGAAUGAGUAAACAUCAUACACAUGAGAUAAGUGAACAUCCUGAAGUUCAAUGGGCUCUGGAAUUGCUUAAACCAGAUCCCGCUUAUGAGCUCAGUGUAAUGCAAAAAUAUUGUGGAGAAGUAAUAUGUAUGGGAAGUGGUUUUUCAAUAGCAUGUUUAACAAAUUGGUUUAACCGCAGGCCGUAUUAUGCGGGAAUACAAGUACAUCUUACAGCAAUGGCAGUAGGAUAUGUUGCAUCGCAAAUUAUUAAGAAAGUUGUUGAUGAUUAUCAGGCAGAACAUGAUACUAAACUAAGGGAUUAUAUCAUACGACAUCCAGAACUCUUUCCUGAACCAGUACGUGUGAAAUAUAGCGAAGUACUUCAGGAGUGGUGUCCAAUUCGUUAGAUCUUUAGAAGCUGUAAAUCAUUGGAAGAUCCGCAAUUGGAUUAUCAUUUUACCUCCUCUGGUUGAAGACCGCCGGGAAUGAUCGUACCGUCUCUGGAACAGAAACAAUAUGGAAGCUGGCAGUUCGCCGUGUCGCAACGCUCGGCUAAAUCCGUGGGUGGCUCGGUUAUUGGUGCUGGUGCUAGAAAUUAAAAGAUACCGUUAUCAAAAUUCAGGAAAAUUACAUUUCGACGAAUGAAUGAAAAUUAGGAGUGAAGACUCGCUCGAAAAUCUCGAUGGGUCCGCAUCGCGCCUCGUUUUUGAAAGUGCAAAACUUGCUGAUGUCGUCAAAGUGCAAGCCUGAUGGACAUCGGUUCAGAUACGGGUAUCCAUCAACGCACUUCCGAAAAACAAAAUAAGAGGAUAUAAUUACGAAUGCGAAUAAUCAUAGUAAACCAAUGAUGAAAAUGAUUAUGUAAUUACCUGAUAAAAUCUUCUGCAUGUUGCCGGAUCGGCGAAGUUGCCAUUACCCUGGCCUUCUGGACACCUGAACUCCUCGUCUUUCUUAUCCUCGUCCUUUUUGCUCUUUUGACUAUGCACUGAAAUAGAGAAAGGCGAGAAUUUGAAUAUAAAAAGGGAUGUGUACGAGGAUAACAGCAACAAAGGCAUAACGAUGCAUUUAUCAAGAGAGGUGCCCGCGCGCUCGCGGAUGUCAAAAAGAUUCAUUUAAUGGUAAAGUGGAAAGUGAAGGUACACGUACCAGUGUACGUUGGCAAUGACGUUGUUUUCUCGCUCAGGUGCAACAUUUCCUUUUAUCGUUCAGACAUACGCACACGUGUGCGGCUGCACGUGUGCAUGUACACACACGCGUAUGUACACCAUAUGCGCGUAAAACAAAUCUUAUGUAAACGCGAGUGAAACCUCGUUGAUGUACUGAAUUCGCCAGUGUCAUCUCUCGUUUCCUCGCGGAUUUUUUGUAUUUUUAUUUUAUUACAAAUUU